rnacentral:rRNA from 1 species
UACGUAGGGUGCGAGCGUUGUCCGGAAUUAUUGGGCGUAAAGAGCUCGUAGGCGGUCUGUCGCGUCGAUCGUGAAAACUUGGGGCUUAACCCUGAGCUUGCGGUCGAUACGGGCAUGACUGGAGUUCGGCAGGGGAGACUGGAAUUCCUGGUGUAGCGGUGAAAUGCGCAGAUAUCAGGAGGAACACCGAUUGCGAAGGCAGCUCGCUGGAACGCUACUGACGCUGAGACGCGAAAGCGUGGGGAGCAAACAGG